GGAGGGCCCCGGCGCCGGCCCCGGUCCCCCCGCGCUGCCCGCGGGCGCUGGGCGCGCACCGGCGGCGGGUGGGAGCCGGGCACCCACACGGCCAAGGGGUGACACCGGGCAGAGCCCUGGUCGGGAAGGGAGAGCGCCAGGCAGCGAGCAAAGCCGGCCAAAAUUCCCGAGCAGACAAGGCGCGGCGUGUCGGAGCGGUGCCCGGCCCAGGGAGCGCAGCCUGGCGUGCCUUCAACGUAAACUUCCUACAGGAAAGGCACGAACGCAGCUACAGCGAGAUCCGUAUCACCUCCCACGUCGUGCCACCAGUUUGGAAAAAGUCUCGACGCUUGGACGCACCAAGCGCGUGUCAGCGCCGGGCUGGUUUGUGCUUUCAAAAGCAGCAGAGAGACCUGACUCAUUUCUUCAAGACGACUAAUUACCUUCUCACUGUGUGCUCAGAUCAGUGCAGGGCAGCCGUUCUGGAUCUCCAGGGAUGUUUGGGUGCCUGGAGGUCCUUGCCUUCCCAUGUGCGGCCAGCUUGGCUUCUGCAUCCCGGAGCGAGCUUCGGCAUGGUUUGGAAGGACAUCUGACAGCGCUCCCGAGACAGGGUGACUUUGUUCUGGAAACUGCCCUGGGAGAAGAUGGGAUCAAACGGUUUGGAGGGAAACACACCUCUGCGACAAGAGCAGUGCCCAAUGGGGUCAACAGCCCUCAGCUUUAAUCCCAAAAACGCACCACACCUCUCCUGCCCUGGGCAGGCGGGCAGGUGUCUGCAGCCAUGCCCUACUGUGCGAGCCGGCUGGGGUCAUUUGCCUACCAGACAAAAACAUCCACUGAAGAAAACAGAGCCCCUUUAUAUGUCACAUGCUCGGGGAGGGGGGAUGACAAUUUUCAGCUAGUUGGAGACGGGGACAUUAGUUAUCCUGACAGAGCUGGGGAUUCAGACAGGAGCUGAUUAAGUACCCUCAGAGGAUGAUAAGUGCCAGCAAAAGCUCUGAAAGAGGUAAAUUGAAACACACUUUAAAAAGGUGCUCAGGGCAAAUUGAAGCGAAUGGGGAAAUUAGAGAUUGCAUGGGGAGAGCAAUAAGUGCCACAGCUCUUUCCCUUUCCUUCCCCACCCAGUGAACUGCCUGCAAAUGGCACCUCGGUGAGAGCCGCAGGGACGAGCCCGACAGCAAGCACGCUGGCAGGCGGAGUGCCUAGGAUCAGGCCACUCGGUUUUUGUAUUCCAAAUUCAAUGUGCUGCCACGUAAUAACAGCUCAGAUCAAAAGCAGCGCUCGCAGUAUCUCGCAGCUCUAUCUCUGGCUGGCAGGAGCAAGCACCAAGCCGCACCAGGGCCUGGCUUGUGUUGCUGGGGAAGUCCUGGCGCUAAUGUUUCUGAUCACAGGCGGUUCAUUUACAAAGCCAUGCUG
rnacentral:lncRNA from 1 species